AUCGCUUCUCGGCCUUUUGGCUAAGAUCAAGUGUAAAAGAUGAGGCAAAGAUUAAUAGCCCUGAAAAUUCUGUAUCCUGUCAUUGGUUCAAAGAUAAUAUCAGUUAAAAUUACCUGUCUGAUUUUUCUUCUUUUGUCAUUGAAUUAAAGAAAAUUGAGUAAUGUUUCU
ensembl:snRNA U2 U2 spliceosomal RNA